GCAAACGGGUGCGGAACACGUACGCAACCUUCCUUUAAGCGGGGAAUAGCCCAGGGAAACUUGGAUUAAUACCCCAUAAGACAAUGGUGUGGCAUCACACAGUUGUUAAAGCUCCGGCACUUAAAGAUGGGCGUGCGGCUGAUUAGGUAGUUGGCGGGGUAACGGCCCACCAAGCCGACGAUCAGUAACUGGUGUGAGAGCACGACCAGUCACACGGGCACUGAGACACGGGCCCGACUCCUACGGGAGGCAGCAGUAAGGAAUAUUGGUCAAUGGACGCAAGUCUGAACCAGCCAUGCCGCGUGGAGGAUGAAGGCCCUCUGGGUUGUAAACUUCUUUUAUUGGGGAAGAAACCUGUUUUUUCUAAAGCAGUUGACGGUACCCGAUGAAUAAGCACCGGCUAACUCCGUGCCAGCAGCCGCGGUAAUACGGAGGGUGCAAGCCGUUAUCCGGAUUCACUGGGUUUCACAGGGUGCGUAGGUGGGCAGGUAAGUCAGUGGUGAAAUCUCUGGGCUUAACCCAGAAACUGCCGUUG
rnacentral:rRNA from 1 species